rnacentral:rRNA from 1 species
GGGGCACCUGAAUCCGCCAUGCCGCGUUGUGUGAAGAAGGCCUUCGGGUUGUAAAGCACUUUCAGCGAGGAAGAACGCUUGGUGGUUAAUACCCAUCAGGAAAGACAUCACUCGCAGAAGAAGCACCGGCUAACUCCGUGCCAGCAGCCGCGGUAAUACGA